rnacentral:rRNA from 1 species
UGCGGCGUGCCUAAUACAUGCAAGUUGAGCGCUGAAGGUUGGUACUUGUACCGACUGGAUGAGCAGCGAACGGGUGAGUAACGCGUGGGGAAUCUGCCUUUGAGCGGGGGACAACAUUUGGAAACGAAUGCUAAUACCGCAUAACAACUUUAAACACAAGUUUUAAGUUUGAAAGAUGCAAUUGCAUCACUCAAAGAUGAUCCCGCGUUGUAUUAGCUAGUUGGUGAGGUAAAGGCUCACCAAGGCGAUGAUACAUAGCCGACCUGAGAGGGUGAUCGGCCACAUUGGGACUGAGACACGGCCCAAACUCCUACGGGAGGCAGCAGUAGGGAAUCUUCGGCAAUGGACGAAAGUCUGACCGAGCAACGCCGCGUGAGUGAAGAAGGUUUUCGGAUCGUAAAACUCUGUUGGUAGAGAAGAACGUUGGUGAGAGUGGAAAGCUCAUCAAGUGACGGUAACUACCCAGAAAGGGACGGCUAACUACGUGCCAGCAGCCGCGGUAAUACGUAGGUCCCGAGCGUUGUCCGGAUUUAUUGGGCGUAAAGCGAGCGCAGGUGGUUUAUUAAGUCUGGUGUAAAAGGCAGUGGCUCAACCAUUGUAUGCAUUGGAAACUGGUAGACUUGAGUGCAGGAGAGGAGAGUGGAAUUCCAUGUGUAGCGGUGAAAUGCGUAGAU